rnacentral:lncRNA from 1 species
CACCAUUCACUGCUAUAUAUAAGCAGUUCGCAGGCUCAGGAAUUCCACUUUUCUGCGGUCGGUCAAAAGGCAAACGCCGGGAAGAACACCAUAGUCAUGAGGGCCUUCGUCACCAUUGCGCUUUGUCGGCUGCUUCGCUGGUCUACUCUGCACCUGGGGCUGAAAAAUUAGACCUCGGUCUCUCCAGUGGACUGGGCCGCCUCCCAGGAGUUGGCAGCAGUGGCAGUGCAGGACUGCCAAGCCUUGGCGGAAGUAGCUCAUCAGGAGGUAGCUUCAGCUCAUCUUUCCUACCUGGACUCUCUGGGUCAUCUAGUGGUGCUAGACCUUCGGCUUCUGGUAGACCUGGUGCUUCCGCUGGUGUGGGAGGAGCAGGUUUCGGCGUAGGCUCCGGGUAUUUCCCAGGAGGAGCUGCUGGUUUCGGAUAUGGUUUCCCAUGGGGCUACGGUGGAUACUAUUAUCCCGGAUAUUACGGAUACCAGCCCUAUGGGUUUGGCGGCUAUGGCUUUGAUGACUACGGCCUCGGAGGUUUCAACGGCUUCUACGGACCAGGCUUCGGCUUCUAUGGACCAGGUUUCGGCUACUACGGCCCCUCGAGCUGGGGCUGGGGCGUCGGUGGAGCCGGACUUAGACCAAAUAGCCUCCGCUCUGCUGGACGCCAAUCCAGUAGCUCCCUUAGAAGCAGCUUCUUCUGGUGCAUCAUCAUCAUCAUCUAGCUCUUCCUCCAGUUCUAGCAGCCAGUAAGCAGCGAAUGCCGUCGUGGAUUGGGCUACUCACGUCAACUUGACUCAUGGUGCAUCCCCGGCCUUUUCAAAAAUGGAGU